GUGCAGACCUCUUCCAGCGAGUCUGAGUCUGUAGUGACUCUGUACUUUCCUGUAGUGUCUGCUAGAGAGACAUGUGAGGCUGUUUGAGGCCCUGCUGUGACUCCACAUGGCAGGGCUAUAGGUAAACCUCGCACAAAA